rnacentral:rRNA from 1 species
GUAGGUGGCAAGCGUUGUCCGGAAUUAUUGGGCGUAAAGCGCGCGCAGGCGGUUUUUAAGUCUGAUGUGAAAGCCCACGGCUCAACCGUGGAGGGUCAUUGGAAACUGGAGAACUUGAGUACAGAAGAGGAAAGCGGAAUUCCACGUGUAGCGGUGAAAUGCGUAGAGAUGUGGAGGAACACCAGUGGCGAAGGCGGCUUUCUGGUCUGUAACUGACGCUGAGGCGCGAAAGCGUGGGGAGCAAACAGGGAUUAGAUACCCUGGUAGUCCACGCCGUAAACGAUGAGUGCUAAGUGUUAGGGGGGUUUCCGCCCCCUUAGUGCUGCAGCUAACGCAUUAAGCACUCCGCCUGGGGAUACGGCCGCAAGGCUG